rnacentral:tmRNA from 1 species
CGAGGCGGACCGCAUGGGUUAUCGCUUCAAGGGCGGCCGCAAGCUGGACUUCGUCGAUCGGGACCAGCCGUUCGGCGCCGGCUCGGAUCCAUCCAACAUCGUCGACAGUUGCUAUCCCUACGGUUCGAUCCAGGUGCCCGGCGGCACGGAGCCGAUCAUCCUGCAUCGCGAUGCCGUUUCCGGCGGCGGGUAUUUCAUGGUCGGUACAGUAAUUUCAGCCGACAUGGACCUGAUCGGCCAGCUGCAGCCCCACACGCCGGCACGGUUUAUCAAGGUGACGAUGGAGGAGGCGCUAAAGGCGCGGGCCGAUAGGAAGGCGCUCCUGGCAAAUCUUCGCGCAGCUCUGGCGUAAGAAAGGGUUAUCCGGUGCAGGCUGUGCGACACGGCGAUUGCGGCAGGAGAACUUGGAAUGCGGCUCCGCGGCUAUUCCAGAACCCGCGUCA